rnacentral:rRNA from 1 species
CCUACGGGCGGCAGCAGUGAGGAAUAUUGGUCAAUGGCCGGAAGGCUGAACCAGCCAAGCCGCGUGAAGGACGAAGGUGCCAAGCAGUGUAAACUUCUUUUGUCAAGGGACAAAAUCAGGCUCGAGAGCCUGACCGAGGGUACUUGAAGAAAAAGCAUCGGCUAACUCCGUGCCAGCAGCCGCGGUAAUACGGAGGAUGCGAGCGUUAUCCGGAUUUAUUGGGUUUAAAGGGUGCGUAGGCGGGCUGUUAAGUCAGCGGUAAAAGCCCGGGGCUCAACCCCGGCGAGCCGUUGAAACUGGCUGUCUUGUGCUGUCGUGAGUUCUGCGGCAUGC